UGUAAUGCAGGCAUUGGUCGCUUCAAACCAGCUGAGUAGCCGCUGCACUAAUGCCUGCCUAGGUACUCGACGCAGAACUUUAUGCAGAUUAAGCAUGUGUUAUCCACCAUCUGUCUGCAUCUUCCGAUUGCCGGGCAAGCAUUAGCACCCCAGGAAGAAUGGAAAUUGUUUUCAGCUUGUAGUCAGCCGGCUACUGCAAUUCCAGAAAAAAAAACAUCUUGUAAAACGAUGUACAGCGGUGGAAAGGAGGAGCACCAGCACUUACCAAUCCACUUGAGAAGUGCAAACGCAUGGAGCAACCACGG
rnacentral:lncRNA from 1 species